GUGCCAGCCGCCGCGGUAAUACGUAUGGGGCAAGCGUUGUUCGGAAUUAUUGGGCGUAAAGGGCUCGCAGGUGGUUUGUUAAGUUGGUGGUUUAAUCUCUGGGCUCAACCCAGAGUCAGCCUCCAAAACUGGCGAACUUGAGUACGAUAGGGGAUAGCGGAAUUCUCGGUGUAGCGGUGGAAUGCGUAGAUAUCGAGAGGAACACCAAUGGCGAAGGCAGCUAUCUGGAUCGUAACUGACACUCAUGAGCGAAAGUGCGGGGAGCAAACAGGAUUAGAUACCCUGGUAGUCC
rnacentral:rRNA from 1 species